rnacentral:rRNA from 1 species
UACGUAGGGUGCGAGCGUUAAUCGGAAUUACUGGGCGUAAAGCGUGCGCAGGCGGUUAUGCAAGACAGAUGUGAAAUCCCCCGGGCUCAACCUGGGAACUGCAUUUGUGACUGCAUGGCUAGAGUACGGUAGAGGGGGAUGGAAUUCCGCGUGUAGCAGUGAAAUGCGUAGAUAUGCGGAGGAACACCGAUGGCGAAGGCAAUCCCCUGGACCUGUACUGACGCUCAUGCACGAAAGACGUGGGGA